rnacentral:lncRNA from 1 species
AAAAUGAAAAUCCGAAAACGUUAUACAGAAUAAAAGUAAUGCUUGCUUAUUGUGCUUGAUUUGUUCUGAAUUUUGAGGUAAAAGUAAGCAGAUUGAUGAUUUAUGAACUGUAUGCUGAGCUGGCGAUGCAAAUAUAUGAACUAAGGGAAUAUAUUUGCAAAUAUAUGAACUAGUAUAGUAGUAUACUAUACUAUACUAUUAUACUAGUAGUAGCAUACUAUAGUAUAGUAGUAUACUAUACUAUACUCCAUGUAUGCAUAGUAGUAGGAAAUUCGCAAAGGCGGAGGAGCUGAUUAUCUCUCUCUACCAGUGUAAAGUUAAUAGUGUGUUCCCUAUGCCUAUCUAUAGAAUAAAACUCCCAGUGAGAUCUAAAGUAAUAGAAGAACAAGUAAAGAGUAGAUAUUUAAGAUUUGCUUACACAGAUGCCAGAAGAAAACUAUAUGUCAUCAGACGGAGAGUCCAACAGUAUGAAUACAGUAUGAGAACAAAGUAUGGGACACGAGUAAUUCAAGAAUUUCAGAACUGUUUAUAAGAGAGAUAGAUUGAGGAAAAGAUAUGUUGAGAUUAAAGUGGAUUAUAUUUAAACAGUGUAAAAAAUGUCAUCAACAAAAACUAAUGAUUGAAGAUGUGGCGAUUAUAGUAGGAAAUAUAGCCUCCCAAUACUCAU